ACGAUGAUGCCCUAGCUUGCUGGGCGGAUUAGUGGCGAACGGGUGAGUAAUACGUGAGUAACCUGCCCUUGACUCUGGGAUAAGCCUGGGAAACUGGGUCUAAUACUGGAUACUACCUCUUACCGCAUGGUGGGUGGUGGAAAGGGUUUUACUGGUUUUGGAUGGGCUCACGGCCUAUCAGCUUGUUGGUGGGGUAAUGGCUCACCAAGGCGACGACGGGUAGCCGGCCUGAGAGGGUGACCGGCCACACUGGGACUGAGACACGGCCCAGACUCCUACGGGAGGCAGCAGUGGGGAAUAUUGCACAAUGGGCGGAAGCCUGAUGCAGCGACGCCGCGUGAGGGAUGACGGCCUUCGGGUUGUAAACCUCUUUCAGUAGGGAAGAAGCGAGAGUGACGGUACCUGCAGAAGAAGCGCCGGCUAACUACGUGCCAGCAGCCGCGGUAAUACGUAGGGCGCAAGCGUUGUCCGGAAUUAUUGGGCGUAAAGAGCUCGUAGGCGGUUUGUCGCGUCUGCUGUGAAAGCCCGGGGCUCAACCCCGGGUCUGCAGUGGGUACGGGCAGACUAGAGUGCAGUAGGGGAGACUGGAAUUCCUGGUGUAGCGGUGAAAUGCGCAGAUAUCAGGAGGAACACCGAUGGCGAAGGCAGGUCUCUGGGCUGUUACUGACGCUGAGGAGCGAAAGCAUGGGGAGCGAACAGGAUUAGAUACCCUGGUAGUCCAUGCCGUAAACGUUGGGCACUAGGUGUGGGGGACAUUCCACGUUUUCCGCGCCGUAGCUAACGCAUUAAGUGCCCCGCCUGGGGAGUACGGCCGCAAGGCUAAAACUCAAAGGAAUUGACGGGGGCCCGCACAAGCGGCGGAGCAUGCGGAUUAAUUCGAUGCAACGCGAAGAACCUUACCAAGGCUUGACAUUCACCGGACCGCCCCAGAGAUGGGGUUUCCCUUCGGGGCUGGUGGACAGGUGGUGCAUGGUUGUCGUCAGCUCGUGUCGUGAGAUGUUGGGUUAAGUCCCGCAACGAGCGCAACCCUCGUUCUAUGUUGCCAGCACGUGAUGGUGGGGACUCAUAGGAGACUGCCGGGGUCAACUCGGAGGAAGGUGGGGAUGACGUCAAAUCAUCAUGCCCCUUAUGUCUUGGGCUUCACGCAUGCUACAAUGGCCGGUACAAAGGGUUGCGAUACUGUGAGGUGGAGCUAAUCCCAAAAAGCCGGUCUCAGUUCGGAUUGAGGUCUGCAACUCGACCUCAUGAAGUCGGAGUCGCUAGUAAUCGCAGAUCAGCAACGCUGCGGUGAAUACGUUCCCGGGCCUUGUACACACCGCCCGUCAAGUCACGAAAGUUGGUAACACCCGAAGCCGGUGGCCUAACCCCUUGUGGGAGGGAGCCGU
rnacentral:rRNA from 1 species